UACGGAAGGCAGCAGUGGGGAAUAUUGCACAAUGGGCGCAAGCCUGAUGCAGCCAUGCCGCGCGUAUGAAGAAGGCCUUCGGGUUGUAAAGUACUUUCAGUCGUGAGGAAGGUGUUAAGGUUAAUAACCUUAGCAAUUGACGUUAGCGACAGAAGAAGCACCGGCUAACUCCGUGCCAGCAGCCGCGGUAAUACGGAGGGUGCGAGCGUUAAUCGGAAUUACUGGGCGUAAAGGGCACGCAGGCGGUUAAUUAAGUUGGAUGUGAAAUCCCCGGGCUUAACCUGGGAAUGGCAUUCAAGACUGGUUAGCUAGAGUCUUGUAGAGGGGGUAGAAUUCCAUGUGUAGCGGUGAAAUGCGUAGAGAUGUGGAGGAAUACCGGUGGCGAAGGCGGCCCCUGGGACAAAGACUGACGCUCAUGUGCGAAAGCGUGGGGAGCGAAACAGGAUUAGAUACC
rnacentral:rRNA from 1 species